GGCAAAUCGUAAUCAGAAUUAUCAUUUGCUGUCGAAUGCAUCUGGCGAUAUAGCAGAUUCACUCAUGGGUACUGAAUUCCAACAGUAUUUGGUUUUAGUAAAUAUGAGAAUUGCUGUUGCUGUCGGAAUUCAGUCAUUUUCACCAAAUUUUGUCUGCUACGGACAAACUACAUUUAUGAGUGAAUAACCCUGUAAAUGGUGAUCUUAUUCACAGAUCAAAUUACAAGUACACGGAUUGGCCCAUUUUCGCACCCUUUUUGGUUCGUAUAAAUUGUUUCCUUAAAUAUUUACCACGAACGAUAUUCAGAUGACCGAACCAUCAAAUGCAUGAAUGUCGGAGGUCCCGAAUGAAAUGUAAUUUUUGGAAAAAUGCUUCAACUGAAACAAAUGUUUCUUCCGUGCACAAAUUUAGUACCAAUCAGUUACAACUGGGGAAAAACAUAUAUAUGCAUUAAAAUCUAGAAAUAUCAAAUUUAAUAAU